GGGUCAGUAGGUUGGUCGUGCCACCGGUACGUACUGGUCUCACUGAUUCCUCCUUCCUGAAGAACCGUAAUGCCAUUAAUUUGGUGUUGCGGGGAAACAGGACCGUUACUUUGAAAAAAUUAGAGUGUUUAAAGCGAGCUAACGCUUGAAUACAUUAGCAUGGAAUAAUGGAAUAGGACGAUCGAUCCUAUUUUGUUGGUUUCUAGGAUUGACGUA
rnacentral:rRNA from 1 species